UCGAGCGCACCCUUCGGGGCGAGCGGCGGACGGGUUAGUAACGCGUGGGAACAUACCCUUUUCUACGGAAUAGCCUCGGGAAACUGAGAGUAAUACCGUAUAAGCCCUUCGGGGGAAAGAUUUAUCGGGAAAGGAUUGGCCCGCGUUAGAUUAGAUAGUUGGUGGGGUAAUGGCCUACCAAGUCUACGAUCUAUAGCUGGUUUUAGAGGAUGAUCAGCAACACUGGGACUGAGACACGGCCCAGACUCCUACGGGAGGCAGCAGUGGGGAAUCUUAGACAAUGGGCGCAAGCCUGAUCUAGCCAUGCCGCGUGUGUGAUGAAGGCCUUAGGGUCGUAAAGCACUUUCGCUAGGGAUGAUAAUGACAGUACCUAGUAAAGAAACCCCGGCUAACUCCGUGCCAGCAGCCGCGGUAAUACGGAGGGGGUUAGCGUUGUUCGGAAUUACUGGGCGUAAAGCGUACGUAGGCGGAUCAGAAAGUAUAGGGUGAAAUCCCGAGGCUCAACCUCGGAACUGCCUUGUAAACUCCUGGUCUUGAGUUCGAGAGAGGUGAGUGGAAUUCCAAGUGUAGAGGUGAAAUUCGUAGAUAUUUGGAGGAACACCAGUGGCGAAGGCGGCUCACUGGCUCGAUACUGACGCUGAGGUACGAAAGUGUGGGGAGCAAACAGGAUUAGAUACCCUGGUAGUCCACACCGUAAACGAUGAAUGCCAGUCGUCGGGUAGCAUGCUAUUCGGUGACACA
rnacentral:rRNA from 1 species